GGCGCCGCCAACGAAGUUCCAUGCACUCUCCUGCACUUCGUGGACGGCAAGUUGAUCGAUGUCGCCAAGGCCAAAAUCGUUGAACCGAGCAACCGCGUGUUCCACCAUAAUCCGAUGCCACCCACCGUGUAUAGGGUUCAACUGGUUCGGGUGCUGCGGGGCUGCGACGACUUGUUACCUCCGUAUCGACCCCAUGGGGCCGACGAAGAGGAUGUGAUGACCCUCGGCGCCUGCUUCAACUGGCCAUUGCUUUGGACGAAGAGCCAGAUUCGUUUGGGGGCGGGGGUCACCACCCCACAGACAACACCGCCAGUCCUGCCGGCGCCAAGCCAUGGCAAGACCGCCGCAACGCUACCGCCGUCAGUUGAUCCGGGCAUGCAUAUGGCACAGGAUCCGGACGUCGACGACGGUACAUUUGUCAACGUCGAUGACUACUUCAAUGAACAUGGUGGGUACGGUGACGAAUUCUUGGCGCCUCCUUCUCAAGAACCCAACCCUGCAAAAGUCGAUCGCGAUCUAGCUGGUACCGCGGAGAAACACAAUUUCAACAGGCGUCGUCUGUUCGGUUCUCAGGAGACGCCUCCAGCUGCCGCCUUCACCGAGACUCAAACAGCCGAGGUGGGAAAUAUUAUCAGCCCCACCACACUCAAGAAGGUGGUCUCUGAGCAGACCUCGAUCCCAUUACAUCAGCAGAAGCCAAAGAAGGGACGGAAAAGAAAAACUAACAAGGGUGCGAGCCAGCCGGCACCGAGUACGAUCCGUGCUCAGGACGGGCCACCAAUACCUAAGGAUAUCAUGAGGGCGGUGCAUGUGGCGGGUAGGCCGAUGCUACCGGCUAAUCUGCUCAAGGCUGCAACCGGUGCUAUGCGGAGUCUGCAUGACAGUGUUCUUUCUAUGGAGAAGCGGCGUUUCUCCGAGAAAGAUGACUUAUACCCGGUUUUCGUGGCCAAGGUGCCAGAGGGCAAGGGCUUUGUCGAUGGCACCAUCGGGAGUAUGAUCGUCCUGCGGUUUGAUGACAUCUUCGCUAUGUUUAACCUUCAUCCGCUGCACUACACCUUCAUUCGGCUAUUUUCGCUCAAUAUGGAGAUGCAGAUCAUUAGAGACAAGACCCCGGACAUCGUGAUAGUCGACCCCUUCUACAUGCGUGCCAAGCACUUGGACAGCGCUGGGGACCGGCAAGUCGCGAGUUCAUACCUCGAAGGCGUCAUUAUGGCGAACAAAGAUAAGGAUACCUUCCUCGUGCCUUACUUUACCGAUGACACACGUUGCACACUCAUCCUCUUAAGCCCGAAAUAUUCCACGGCCACGUAUUUCGACUCGGACCGUCAGUCGAAGAAAGACUACACAAAUAUCAAGAAAGUUCUUGAUGAUGCUCUCCCCGGCUACGCCAAAUCUGGAGGCACCUUCAGGAAGGAAAUGUGUAGGUACGGCAAGCACGUGUUCACCCACGUAACGACGUUCCCCUGCGUCAAGCAGCCGCCUAGCAGUCAGAAGGAUGCCUACUACGCCCUCCAUCACAUGCGGGCGAUCGUACGGGACCAUAAUCACCUUAUGCUACCAAAGGGUCUCCAAGAUUGGGCCGCACGCUUGUCGGCAAUCCAGGACAUGGACAUCAGACAAGAAUUCUUUCGCAUCCAGUCGGAGUUUGCGGAAAUCAUCUGGCAAGAUGUCCUUCGUACCUCGGGGCAGUUCCACCUCAAAUAUCAACCGUCCAACAGGGAAAUAGAAACAACGCUACAAAUGCAGGCUGACAAAUACCGCACAUUCAUGACGCCGACGGAUGACGGCGGCUUCAUCCACGCUCCGGUCCCUGAGUCGAGUCGAAGAAAGUAUUGAUGUGCAUAGAGAUGCCGUCGUAUGUCGUGUACAAGGGUAGGGUUCCCGGAGUCUAUGACGACUGGGAGGAGUGUCGGAGACAGGUUCACCGUUUCAGCGGUAACAGUUACAAAGGGUACACCACUAGGGCGGAGGCGGAAGCUAGAUACGAGCGCUAUCUGGAGGGAGAGAGGAGGGAGCGGAGGAGGAACCGGAUGAAGACUAGUUUCAUCGCGAUGAUGCUCAUCGUGACCGCAGCUCUCCUCUAUGUGAUGGUAGUUUAGAUGAUAUCAACUUUGUAAUGUGACGACAAACUCGCUACUCGGUCUCGAGACCUAAACUUGUCUAAUAUUUGAACUUUGUUCGCUAUUUCGAAUUCGGAGACUAAUGUGAUGAUUUGUAU
rnacentral:rRNA from 1 species